rnacentral:rRNA from 1 species
GGGACACGUGGUAUCCUGUCUGAAUAUGGGGGGACCAUCCUCCAAGGCUAAAUACUCCUGACUGACCGAUAGUGAACCAGUACCGUGAGGGAAAGGCGAAAAGAACCCCGGCGAGGGGAGUGAAAAAGAACCUGAAACCGUGUACGUACAAGCAGUGGGAGCACGCUUAGGCGUGUGACUGCGUACCUUUUGUAUAAUGGGUCAGCGACUUAUAUUCUGUAGCAAGGUUAACCGAAUAGGGGAGCCGAAGGGAAACCGAGUCUUAACUGGGCGUUAAGUUGCAGGGUAUAGACCCGAAACCCGGUGAUCUAGCCAUGGGCAGGUUGAAGGUUGGGUAACACUAACUGGAGGACCGAACCGACUAAUGUUGAAAAAUUAGCGGAUGACUUGUGGCUGGGGGUGAAAGGCCAAUCAAACCGGGAGAUAGCUGGUUCUCCCCGAAAGCUAUUUAGGUAGCGCCUCGUGAAUUCAUCUCCGGGGGUAGAGCACUGUUUCGGCAAGGGGGUCAUCCCGACUUACCAACCCGAUGCAAACUGCGAAUACCGGAGAAUGUUAUCACGGGAGACACACGGCGGGUGCUAACGUCCGUCGUGAAGAGGGAAACAACCCAGACCGCCAGCUAAGGUCCCAAAGUCAUGGUUAAGUGGGAAACGAUGUGGGAAGGCCCAGACAGCCAGGAUGUUGGCUUAGAAGCAGCCAUCAUUUAAAGAAAGCGUAAUAGCUCACUGGUCGAGUCGGCCUGCGCGGAAGAUGUAACGGGGCUAAACCAUGCACCGAAGCUGCGGCAGCGACGCUUAUGCGUUGUUGGGUAGGGGAGCGUUCUGUAAGCCUGUGAAGGUGUGCUGUGAGGCAUGCUGGAGGUAUCAGAAGUGCGAAUGCUGACAUAAGUAACGAUAAAGCGGGUGAAAAGCCCGCUCGCCGGAAGACCAAGGGUUCCUGUCCAACGUUAAUCGGGGCAGGGUGAGUCGACCCCUAAGGCGAGGCCGAAAGGCGUAGUCGAUGGGAAACAGGUUAAUAUUCCUGUACUUGGUGUUACUGCGAAGGGGGGACGGAGAAGGCUAUGUUGGCCGGGCGACGGUUGUCCCGGUUUAAGCGUGUAGGCUGGUUUUCCAGGCAAAUCCGGAAAAUCAAGGCUGAGGCGUGAUGACGAGGCACUACGGUGCUGAAGCAACAAAUGCCCUGCUUCCAGGAAAAGCCUCUAAGCAUCAGGUAACAUCAAAUCGUACCCCAAACCGACACAGGUGGUCAGGUAGAGAAUACCAAGGCGCUUGAGAGAACUCGGGUGAAGGAACUAGGCAAAAUGGUGCCGUAACUUCGGGAGAAGGCACGCUGAUAUGUAGGUGAAGUCCCUCGCGGAUGGAGCUGAAAUCAGUCGAAGAUACCAGCUGGCUGCAACUGUUUAUUAAAAACACAGCACUGUGCAAACACGAAAGUGGACGUAUACGGUGUGACGCCUGCCCGGUGCCGGAAGGUUAAUUGAUGGGGUCAGCGCAAGCGAAGCUCUUGAUCGAAGCCCCGGUAAACGGCGGCCGUAACUAUAACGGUCCUAAGGUAGCGAAAUUCCUUGUCGGGUAAGUUCCGACCUGCACGAAUGGCGUAAUGAUGGCCAGGCUGUCUCCACCCGAGACUCAGUGAAAUUGAACUCGCUGUGAAGAUGCAGUGUACCCGCGGCAAGACGGAAAGACCCCGUGAACCUUUACUAUAGCUUGACACUGAACAUUGAGCCUUGAUGUGUAGGAUAGGUGGGAGGCUUGGAAGUGUGGACGCCAGUCUGCAUGGAGCCGACCUUGAAAUACCACCCUUUAAUGUUUGAUGUUCUAACGUGGACCCGUAAUCCGGGUUGCGGACAGUGUCUGGUGGGUAGUUUGACUGGGGCGGUCUCCUCCUAAAGAGUAACGGAGGAGCACGAAGGUUGGCUAAUCCUGGUCGGACAUCAGGAGGUUAGUGCAAUGGCAUAAGCCAGCUUGACUGCGAGCGUGACGGCGCGAGCAGGUGCGAAAGCAGGUCAUAGUGAUCCGGUGGUUCUGAAUGGAAGGGCCAUCGCUCAACGGAUAAAAGGUACUCCGGGGAUAACAGGCUGAUACCGCCCAAGAGUUCAUAUCGACGGCGGUGUUUGGCACCUCGAUGUCGGCUCAUCACAUCCUGGGGCUGAAGUAGGUCCCAAGGGUAUGGCUGUUCGCCAUUUAAAGUGGUACGCGAGCUGGGUUUAGAACGUCGUGAGACAGUUCGGUCCCUAUCUGCCGUGGGCGCUGGAGAACUGAGGGGGGCUGCUCCUAGUACGAGAGGACCGGAGUGGACGCAUCACUGGUGUUCGGGUUGUCAUGCCAAUGGCACUGCCCGGUAGCUAAAUGCGGAAGAGAUAAGUGCUGAAAGCAUCUAAGCACGAAACUUGCC